rnacentral:rRNA from 1 species
AUACGGAGGGGGCUAGCGUUGUUCGGAAUUACUGGGCGUAAAGCGCGCGUAGGCGGAUUGAUCAGUCAGGGGUGAAAUCCCGAGGCUUAACCUCGGAACUGCCUUUGAUACUGUCAAUCUUGAGUUCGAGAGAGGUGAGUGGAAUUCCUAGUGUAGAGGUGAAAUUCGUAGAUAUUAGGAAGAACACCAGUGGCGAAGGCGGCUCACUGGCUCGAUACUGACGCUGAGGUGCGAAAGCGUGGGGAGCAAACAGGAUUAGAAACCCGAGUAGUCC